CGACCUGCACGAAUGGCGUAAUGAUGGCCAGGCUGUCUCCACCCGAGACUCAGUGAAAUUGAACUCGCUGUGAAGAUGCAGUGUACCCGCGGCAAGACGGAAAGACCCCGUGAACCUUUACUAUAGCUUGACACUGAACAUUGAGCCUUGAUGUGUAGGAUAGGUGGGAGGCUUUGAAGCGUGGACGCCAGUCUGCGUGGAGCCGACCUUGAAAUACCACCCUUUAAUGUUUGAUGUUCUAACGUGGACCCGUAAUCCGGGUUGCGGACAGUGUCUGGUGGGUAGUUUGACUGGGGCGGUCUCCUCCUAAAGAGUAACGGAGGAGCACGAAGGUUGGCUAAUCCUGGUCGGACAUCAGGAGGUUAGUGCAAUGGCAUAAGCCAGCUUGACUGCGAGCGUGACGGCGCGAGCAGGUGCGAAAGCAGGUCAUAGUGAUCCGGUGGUUCUGAAUGGAAGGGCCAUCGCUCAACGGAUAAAAGGUACUCCGGGGAUAACAGGCUGAUACCGCCCAAGAGUUCAUAUCGACGGCGGUGUUUGGCACCUCGAUGUCGGCUCAUCACAUCCUGGGGCUGAAGUAGGUCCCAAGGGUAUGGCUGUUCGCCAUUUAAAGUGGUACGCGAGCUGGGUUUAGAACGUCGUGAGACAGUUCGGUCCCUAUCUGCCGUGGGCGCUGGAGAACUGAGGGGGGCUGCUCCUAGUACGAGAGGACCGGAGUGGACGCAUCACUGGUGUUCGGGUUGUCAUGCCAAUGGCACUGCCCGGUAGCUAAAUGCGGAAGAGAUAAGUGCUGAAAGCAUCUAAGCACGAAACUUGCCCCGA
rnacentral:rRNA from 1 species